rnacentral:rRNA from 1 species
CUAACGGGAGGGCUAGCGUUGCUCGGAAUCACUGGGCGUAAAGGGUGCGUAGGCGGGUCUUUAAGUCAGGGGUGAAAUCCUGGAGCUCAACUCCAGAACUGCCUUUGAUACUGAGGAUCUUGAGUUCGGGAGAGGUGAGUGGAACUGCGAGUGUAGAGGUGAAAUUCGUAGAUAUUCGCAAGAACACCAGUGGCGAAGGCGGCCUCACUGGCCCGAUACUGACGCUGAGGCACGAAAGCGUGGGAGCAACAGGG